rnacentral:rRNA from 1 species
UGGGGAAUAUUGGACAAUGGGCGAAAGCCUGAUCCAGCCAUGCCGCGUGUGUGAAGAAGGUCUUCGGAUUGUAAAGCACUUUAAGUUGGGAGGAAGGGCAUUAACCUAAUACGUUAGUGUUUUGACGUUACCGACAGAAUAAGCACCGGCUAACUCUGUGCCAGCAGCCGCGGUAAUACAGAGGGUGCAAGCGUUAAUCGGAAUUACUGGGCGUAAAGCGCGCGUAGGUGGUCUGUUAAGUUGGAUGUGAAAUCCCCGGGCUCAACCUGGGAACUGCAUUCAAAACUGACUGACUAGAGUAUGGUAGAGGGUGGUAGAAUUUCCUGUGUAGCGGUGAAAUGCGUAGAUAUAGGAAGGAACACCAGUGGCGAAGGCGACCACCUGGACUAAUACUGACACUGAGGUGCGAAAGCGUGGGGAGCAAACA